AUGUUUGUGUUGUGUUUGCUUAUUUGUUGUAUCCAUUUGAUAUGCUUUCUUAAUGGGUAUAAUUUGGAUCUCAUGAUUGGAAAGUUGUUCAAUCCGUUCAAUUCAAAGGUGUGCAAAUUUCAGAAUGUAGAGGUGUUCAUGUUAUAUAUCUUGGCAUACUGUAUAGAAUUUAGAUAACACGUGAUGCAUUUUUUCUUCAUUCUAUAUUACCAGGUUAGUUGUAACUGUAGGUUUGUGCCAUCAAAGCUCCUGGUUUUGGAGAAGACAGGAGCAAACUUGGAAGAUCUAGCCAUUCUUACAAUAGGAGAGAGUCCAUGAAACUUUGAAGAAGCGCGAUCUUACAAAAGCUCUUGUAAUGAAAGAGCUGGUGUGGUUUGUGCCAUGAUUAGAAGCUUACAAUAGCAUUCAAAAAUGACACUUCUGCAUAGUAAGCAAAUGAAGAAACAUAUUACAAU